rnacentral:rRNA from 1 species
GUCCACGCCGUAAACGAUGGAUGCUAGCCGUCGGCAAGCUUGCUUGUCGGUGGCGCAGCUAACGCAUUAAGCAUCCCGCCUGGGGAGUACGGCCGCAAGGUUAAAACUCAAAGGAAUUGACGGGGGCCCGCACAAGCGGUGGAGCAUGUGGUUUAAUUCGACGCAACGCGAAGAACCUUACCGGCUCUUGACAUGCCUCGAACCCCAGCAGAAAUGUCGGGGGCCCAGCAAUGGGCGGGGACACAGGUGCUGCAUGGCUGUCGU